rnacentral:rRNA from 1 species
GACGAACGCUGGCGGCGUGCUUAACACAUGCAAGUCGAACGGAAAGGCCCUGCUUUUGUGGGGUGCUCGAUUGGCGAACUGGUGAGUAACACGUGAGUAACCUGCCCUUUACUUUGGGAUAACUUCAGGAAACUUGGGCUAAUACCGUAUAGGAGCUCCUGCUGCAUGGUGGGGUUUGGAAAGUUUCGGCGUUUGGGGAUGGACUCGCGGCUUAUCAGCUUGUUUGUGGGGUAGUGGCUUACCAAGGCUUUGACGGGUAGCCGGCCUGAGAGGGUGACCGGACAAAUUGGGAAUGAGAUACGGACCAGAAUACUACGGGAGGCAGGAGUGGGGAAUAUUGCACAAUGGGCGGAAGCCUGAUGCAGCAAAGCAGCGGGCGGGAUGACGGCCUUCGGGUUGUAAAAAGAUUUCGAAUGUGAAGAAGAGUGAGUGACGGUAAUGGGUAAAGAAGCACCGGCUAACUACGUG